GCUUGCUCUUCCUGAUUAGUGGCGCACGGGUGAGUAAUGCAUAGAUAAUGUGCCCCUUAGUUCGGGAUAGCCACUGGAAACGGUGAUUAAUACCGGAUACUCCUUCUUGCCUCAAGGUAAGUCGGGAAAGUUUUUCGCUAAGGGAUCAGUCUAUGUCCUAUCAGCUAGUUGGUGAGGUAAUGGCUCACCAAGGCUAUGACAGGUAUCUGGUUUGAGAGGAUGAUCAGACACACUGGAACUGAGACACGGUCCAGACUCCUACGGGAGGCAGCAGUGAGGAAUAUUGCACAAUGGAGGAAACUCUGAUGCAGCAACGCCGCGUGGAGGAUGACGCAUUUCGGUGUGUAAACUCCUUUUAUUAGGGAAGAUAAUGACGGUACCUAAUGAAUAAGCACCGGCUAACUCCGUGCCAGCAGCCGCGGUAAUACGGAGGGUGCAAGCGUUACUCGGAAUCACUGGGCGUAAAGGGUGCGUAGGCUGGCUUUUAAGUCAGAUGUGAAAUCCAAUGGCUUAACCAUUGAACUGCAUUUGAAACUGAAAGCCUAGAGUUCAGAAGGGGCAGAUGGAAUUAGUGGUGUAGGGGUAAAAUCCGUAGAUAUCACUAGGAAUAUCAAAAGCGAAGGCGAUCUGCUGGGA
rnacentral:rRNA from 1 species